rnacentral:rRNA from 1 species
CGGACGGGUGAGUAACGCGUGAGAAUCUGCCCUUAGGAGGGGGAUAACGGUUGGAAACGACCGCUAAGACCCCAUAUGCCGAGAGGUGAAACAAAUUUUGCCUGAGGAUGAGCUCGCGUCCGAUUAGCUAGUUGGUAAGGUAAGAGCUUACCAAGGCGACGAUCGGUAGCUGGUCUGAGAGGAUGGUCAGCCACACUGGGACUGAGACACGGCCCAGACUCCUACGGGAGGCAGCAGUGGGGAAUUUUCCGCAAUGGGCGAAAGCCUGACGGAGCAAGACCGCGUGAGGGAAGAAGGUCUGUGGAUUGUAAACCUCUUUUGAUAGGGAAGAAGUUCUGACGGUACCUGUCGAAUCAGCCUCGGCUAACUCCGUGCCAGCAGCCGCGGUAAUACGGAGGAGGCAAGCGUUAUCCGGAAUUAUUGGGCGUAAAGCGUCCGUAGGUGGAUGUUCAAGUCUUCUGUCAAAGCGCGGAGCUUAACUCCGUAAAGGCAGAGGAAACUGAGCGUCUAGAGUGCGAUAGGGGCAAGGGGAAUUCCCAGUGUAGCGGUGAAAUGCGCAGAUAUUGGGAAGAACACCGGUGGCGAAAGCGCCUUGCUGGGUCUGCACUGACACUGAGGGACGAAAGCUAGGGGAGCGAAAGGGAUUAGAUACCCCU